rnacentral:rRNA from 1 species
UACGUAGGGUGCGAGCGUUGUCCGGAAUUACUGGGCGUAAAGAGCUCGUAGGUGGUUUGUCGCGUUGUCCGUGAAAACUCACAACUCAAUUGUGGGCGUGCGGGCGAUACGGGCAGACUGGAGUACUGCAGGGGAGACUGGAAUUCCUGGUGUAGCGGUGGAAUGCGCAGAUAUCAGGAGGAACACCGGUGGCGAAGGCGGGUCUCUGGGCCUUACCUGACACUGAGGAGCGAAAGCGUGGGGAGCGAACAGG